rnacentral:sRNA from 1 species
AAGUAGGCCCGCGUUAGGGAUUGUAGCGGCAUCCUUUUUAAAACUUGCUUAGGAAAAACACCUGGGUAUUAUAAAUAUAACGACAAAAGAUUUCCGUUUUAAGAAGCUAUUUGCUUGUUUUAAAAAGAUAUAGCGGAAAGCACGACCCGCA